GACGAACGCUGGCGGCGUGGAUUAGGCAUGCAAGUCGAACGGUAUCAUCCUUUCGGGGGUGAGAGAGUGGCGAACUGGUGAGUAACACGUAGGUUAUCUACCCUCAAGACGGGGACAACCCAGGGAAACUUGGGCUAAUACCGGAUGUGAGCAACUUUUAGUUGUUUGAAAGGUGGCGUAAGCUGUCGCUUGGGGAUGAGCCUGCGUCCUAUUAGUUAGUUGGUGAGGUAACGGCUCACCUAGGCAAUGAUAGAUAGGCGGCCUUAACGGGUGGUCGCCCACACUGGGAUUGAGAUACGGCCCAGACUCCUACGGGAGGCAGCAGUCGAGAAUAGUCUACAAUGGCCGGAAGGCUGAUAGUGCGACGCCGCGUGAACGAGGGAGCCCUUCGGGGUGUAAAGUUCUUUUCUAUACGAGCAGUGCUAUAUAUAUGGAUAGUAUAUAUAGAGGGAUAGUAGUAUAGGAAUAAGCAACGGCUAACUCCGUGCCAGCAGCCGCGGUAAACUCGU
rnacentral:rRNA from 1 species